rnacentral:rRNA from 1 species
UCCAGACUCCUACGGGAGGCAGCAGUGAGGAAUAUUGGUCAAUGGGCGGGAGCCUGAACCAGCCAAGUCGCGUGAGGGACGACGGUCCUAUGGAUUGUAAACCUCUUUUGUCGGGGAACAAAGGCGCCCACGGGUGGGCGGAUGAGUGUACCCGAAGAAAAAGCAUCGGCUAACUCCGUGCCAGCAGCCGCGGUAAUACGUAGGGGGCAAGCGUUAUCCGGAUUUACUGGGUGUAAAGGGAGCGUAGACGGCAGUGCAAGUCUGGAGUGAAAGGCGGGGGCUCAACCCCCGGACUGCUCUGGAAACUGUACGGCUGGAGUGCAGGAGAGGUAAGUGGAAUUCCUAGUGUAGCGGUGAAAUGCGUAGAUAUUAGGAGGAACACCAGUGGCGAAGGCGGCUUACUGGACUGUAACUGACGUUGAGGCUCGAAAGCGUGGGGAGCAAACAGGAUUAGAUACCCCCGUAC